rnacentral:rRNA from 1 species
CUCCGGUUGAUCCUGCCGGACCCGACUGCUAUCAGAGUGGGACUAAGCCAUGCGAGUCAACAUAGCAAUAUGUGGCAUACGGCUCAGUAACACGUAGUCAACAUGCCCAGGGGACGUGGAUAACCUCGGGAAACUGAGGAUAAACCGCGAUAGGUCAUCACUUCUGGAAUGGGUAAUGACUUAAAUCUAUAUGGCCCCUGGAUUGGACUGCGGCCGAUCAGGCUGUUGGUGAGGUAAUGGCCCACCAAACCUGUAACCGGUACGGGCUCUGAGAGGAGGAGCCCGGAGAUGGGCACUGAGACAAGGGCCCAGGCCCUAUGGGGCGCAGCAGGCGCGAAACCUCUGCAAUAGGCGAAAGCUUGACAGGGUUACUCUGAGUGAUUUCCGUUAAGGAGAUCUUUUGGCACCUCUAAAAAUGGUGCAGAAUAAGGGGUGGGCAAGUCUGGUGUCAGCCGCCGCGGUAAUACCAGCACCCCGAGUGGUCGGGACGUUUAUUGGGCCUAAAGCAUCCGUAGCCGGUUCUACAAGUCUUCCGUUAAAUCCACCUGCUUAACAGAUGGGCUGCGGAAGAUACUAUAGAGCUAGGAGGCGGGAGAGGCAAGCGGUACUCGAUGGGUAGGGGUAAAAUCCGUUGAUCCAUUGAAGACCACCAGUGGCGAAGGCGGCUUGCCAGAACGCGCUCGACGGUGAGGGAUGAAAGCUGGGGGAGCAAACCGGAUUAGAUACCCGGGUAGUCCCAGCUGUAAACGAUGCAGACUCGGUGAUGAGUUGGCUUAUUGCUAACUCAGUGCCGCAGGGAAGCCGUUAAGUUUGCCGCCUGGGGAGUACGGUCGCAAGACUGAAACUUAAAGGAAUGGCGGGGGGGCACAA